GACGAACGCUGGCGGCGUGCUUAACACAUGCAAGUCGAACGGAGAGGCGCCGUCCUUGUUGGUGGGUGUGGAGGAGUGGCGAACGGGUGAGCAACAGGUGAGUAACCUGCCCCCUUCGUCUGGAUAACGGCAUGAAAGUGUGGCUAAUACGGGAUAUUCUGGGUCGGUCGGAUGAUUGGUCUGGGAAAGAUAUUGUGUCGGUGGGGGAUGGGUUUGCGGCCUAUCAGCUUGUUGGUGGGGUGAUGGCCUACCAAGGCGGUGAUGGGUAGCCGGCCUGAGAGGGUCGACGGUCACAGAGGGAAUACGACGCCGCGACGCCUCCGACGGGAGGCAGUAGGGGAGAUUACUGAACAGUGGGAAGAAUGCUGAUGCAGCGCCGCGGCGGGGGGGAAGGUGGCCUGCGCGUUAUGCACCUCUUUCGGGAGUGAACCAGGGCUGCCUCGUUUGUGGGUGGGUUGACGGUAGCUGGUUAAGAAGCGCCGGCUAACUACGUG
rnacentral:rRNA from 1 species